UGAGCGAGAAUAUAACAUUGUGACGGCGGUGUCGUGCAGUUACGUUUUGAAGAGGAUGGUACUAAAAAAGAUCAAACCACGGUCCCCCAUGAUGAAACCGGCACGCGCGUCACCAUUUCAAAUAACGUUGUUAUUGCAAAACAGGAGCGUGACAAAAAGACAGCAUGUUUGACAAUGUCCCAAUAUAUUAUUAUGGCGAUGGCAUUAGAUAAGUUCAAAACAAAAAGAUCCCCAAAAAAGACUCAACCAUGUCAAUUCCCAUUGAAAUGCAUUUCUGUAAAACACACACACGUGGGAAAAAAAGAAUUGAUGUGCGUAAAAGAACAAUCGAGAAUAUUUUUGGGGUGUUUUUUUUUUGUUUACCCCAACGGGAUCUUCUAGAUAGAUGACGUCAUGGGAAAACCCGGGUACAAAACGCUUACUUGCCAAAACUUGUCAGCGUGCGUGUUUCUUGCGUCUUGCAGGUGAGGACGAAAUGCAACGCGCAAGACCAGGACCGGGAGGCCAUUCCAGUCGCGGACGUGCUGGUGACCCAUGACCCGCUUCGACGCCCUUUCCUUCUAAACCCUGCGAGAGGAAGGAUGGAAGGUGCAAAACCAAGCUGGGGAAAAGGCUGAAGAUGAGGAGGGGUUGUCAGUCCAAUCCCCCGAGAGUGCCUCAAGCCCCAUCGCCAGCCAAUGUCUUGUGUUCAAAAGGUGCCAAGUGCAUGUGUUCAGACGUCUCCCAUAAAGCCAGAAAGAGUUGCCAGGACGAACCACGUGUCAAGGGGACUCAAACUUUUUUUUUUUUUGUUGUCGUGUAAACUAAAUUAAGAAAUAGUUUUCUCUUUUUUUCAACCCACCUGUGUGUGUGUGUGAGGGAGAGAGAGUGUGUGUGCGCGCGUGCGUGCCUACGUGUUCUCCUUUUGAUACUCAUAUGUGCACUGUAUGUAAAUGUCGCUCUGCAAAGGCGACGUCGCAUGUUUUAUAUCAUUAUGUAUCAUGACGUGAUUUAGAAUUUGACUUCAUCCCUGUGGGAUUGUGUGUGUGUGUGUGUCCGCGCGUGCGCGUGUGAGGUCUUCUGAGCUCAGGUUGCAGUCGCGUGCACGCGCGUCGUUUUGCGACACGGAUUGUGAGCCGACGCCCGCGCGCACGCCGGCCGUGCACGAAGCUUUUUUUUAUAGUCUUGCGCGCACGCAGAUUUCGGGUCAGGCUUCACGUGACUUCUUCAGAGGUCAUUUGGCGCGUAUUUUACGUCUAAUUUGUGCGCGUGCAUGAGAGAGAGAGAGAGAGAGAGCGCGCAAGAGAGGGCGAGCAUGGCGCCUGCAUUUGCGUGCGUGUGUGAGGGAUGAAGAGGAAAUUGUAUAGACGAGGUGAACACGUGAUUUAAUACAAGGUGUAUUGUAUGUACAGUAAUCUAACAUGAAAAUAAAACCAUGUUUAAGGACAA